ACUAAGCGUACACGGUGGAUGCCCUGGCAGUCAGAGGCGAUGAAGGACGUGCUAAUCUGCGAUAAGCGUCGGUAAGGUGAUAUGAACCGUUAUAACCGGCGAUUUCCGAAUGGGGAAACCCAGUGUGAUUCGUCACACUAUCAUUAACUGAAUCCAUAGGUUAAUGAGGCGAACCGGGGGAACUGAAACAUCUAAGUACCCCGAGGAAAAGAAAUCAACCGAGAUUCCCCCAGUAGCGGCGAGCGAACGGGGAGCAGCCCAGAGCCUGAAUCAGUGUGUGUGUUAGUGGAAGCGUCUGGAAAGGCGCGCGAUACAGGGUGACAGCCCCGUACACAAAAAUGCACAUGCUGUGAGCUCGAUGAGUAGGGCGGGACACGUGGUAUCCUGUCUGAAUAUGGGGGGACCAUCCUCCAAGGCUAAAUACUCCUGACUGACCGAUAGUGAACCAGUACCGUGAGGGAAAGGCGAAAAGAACCCCGGCGAGGGGAGUGAAAAAGAACCUGAAACCGUGUACGUACAAGCAGUGGGAGCACAGAGCAAUCUGUGUGACUGCGUACCUUUUGUAUAAUGGGUCAGCGACUUAUAUUCUGUAGCAAGGUUAACCGAAUAGGGGAGCCGAAGGGAAACCGAGUCUUAACUGGGCGUUAAGUUGCAGGGUAUAGACCCGAAACCCGGUGAUCUAGCCAUGGGCAGGUUGAAGGUUGGGUAACACUAACUGGAGGACCGAACCGACUAAUGUUGAAAAAUUAGCGGAUGACUUGUGGCUGGGGGUGAAAGGCCAAUCAAACCGGGAGAUAGCUGGUUCUCCCCGAAAGCUAUUUAGGUAGCGCCUCGUGAAUUCAUCUCCGGGGGUAGAGCACUGUUUCGGCAAGGGGGUCAUCCCGACUUACCAACCCGAUGCAAACUGCGAAUACCGGAGAAUGUUAUCACGGGAGACACACGGCGGGUGCUAACGUCCGUCGUGAAGAGGGAAACAACCCAGACCGCCAGCUAAGGUCCCAAAGUCAUGGUUAAGUGGGAAACGAUGUGGGAAGGCCCAGACAGCCAGGAUGUUGGCUUAGAAGCAGCCAUCAUUUAAAGAAAGCGUAAUAGCUCACUGGUCGAGUCGGCCUGCGCGGAAGAUGUAACGGGGCUAAACCAUGCACCGAAGCUGCGGCAGCGACGCUUAGGCGUUGUUGGGUAGGGGAGCGUUCUGUAAGCCUGCGAAGGUGUACUGUGAGGUAUGCUGGAGGUAUCAGAAGUGCGAAUGCUGACAUAAGUAACGAUAAAGCGGGUGAAAAGCCCGCUCGCCGGAAGACCAAGGGUUCCUGUCCAACGUUAAUCGGGGCAGGGUGAGUCGACCCCUAAGGCGAGGCCGAAAGGCGUAGUCGAUGGGAAACAGGUUAAUAUUCCUGUACUUGGUGUUACUGCGAAGGGGGGACGGAGAAGGCUAUGUUGGCCGGGCGACGGUUGUCCCGGUUUAAGCGUGUAGGCUGGUUUUCCAGGCAAAUCCGGAAAAUCAAGGCUGAGGCGUGAUGACGAGGCACUACGGUGCUGAAGCAACAAAUGCCCUGCUUCCAGGAAAAGCCUCUAAGCAUCAGGUAACAUCAAAUCGUACCCCAAACCGACACAGGUGGUCAGGUAGAGAAUACCAAGGCGCUUGAGAGAACUCGGGUGAAGGAACUAGGCAAAAUGGUGCCGUAACUUCGGGAGAAGGCACGCUGAUAUGUAGGUGAAGCGACUUGCUCGUGGAGCUGAAAUCAGUCGAAGAUACCAGCUGGCUGCAACUGUUUAUUAAAAACACAGCACUGUGCAAACACGAAAGUGGACGUAUACGGUGUGACGCCUGCCCGGUGCCGGAAGGUUAAUUGAUGGGGUCAGCGCAAGCGAAGCUCUUGAUCGAAGCCCCGGUAAACGGCGGCCGUAACUAUAACGGUCCUAAGGUAGCGAAAUUCCUUGUCGGGUAAGUUCCGACCUGCACGAAUGGCGUAAUGAUGGCCAGGCUGUCUCCACCCGAGACUCAGUGAAAUUGAACUCGCUGUGAAGAUGCAGUGUACCCGCGGCAAGACGGAAAGACCCCGUGAACCUUUACUAUAGCUUGACACUGAACAUUGAGCCUUGAUGUGUAGGAUAGGUGGGAGGCUUUGAAGUGUGGACGCCAGUCUGCAUGGAGCCGACCUUGAAAUACCACCCUUUAAUGUUUGAUGUUCUAACGUUGACCCGUAAUCCGGGUUGCGGACAGUGUCUGGUGGGUAGUUUGACUGGGGCGGUCUCCUCCUAAAGAGUAACGGAGGAGCACGAAGGUUGGCUAAUCCUGGUCGGACAUCAGGAGGUUAGUGCAAUGGCAUAAGCCAGCUUGACUGCGAGCGUGACGGCGCGAGCAGGUGCGAAAGCAGGUCAUAGUGAUCCGGUGGUUCUGAAUGGAAGGGCCAUCGCUCAACGGAUAAAAGGUACUCCGGGGAUAACAGGCUGAUACCGCCCAAGAGUUCAUAUCGACGGCGGUGUUUGGCACCUCGAUGUCGGCUCAUCACAUCCUGGGGCUGAAGUAGGUCCCAAGGGUAUGGCUGUUCGCCAUUUAAAGUGGUACGCGAGCUGGGUUUAGAACGUCGUGAGACAGUUCGGUCCCUAUCUGCCGUGGGCGCUGGAGAACUGAGGGGGGCUGCUCCUAGUACGAGAGGACCGGAGUGGACGCAUCACUGGUGUUCGGGUUGUCAUGCCAAUGGCACUGCCCGGUAGCUAAAUGCGGAAGAGAUAAGUGCUGAAAGCAUCUAAGCACGAAACUUGCCCCGAGAUGAGUUCUCCCUGACCCUUUAAGGGUCCUGAAGGAACGUUGAAGACGACGACGUUGAUAGGCCGGGUGUGUAAGCGCAGCGAUGCGUUGAGCUAACCGGUACUAAUGAACCGUGAGGCUUAACC
rnacentral:rRNA from 2 species